UGUUAAAAAUUUCAUCCAUUUGUAAUGUUAAAAACUGACGUGGUUGACGGAAUAACCAGACAGUGAGACGUGAUGUACCACGUAUAUCGCAUUUUGACGUAUAGUAACUAAUUUUUAAUAGUAAAAAUGGAUAAAAUUUUCAACA
rfam:Gossypium raimondii Chr04_contig_49, whole genome shotgun sequence.